UCCUCCGUGGCGCAAUUGGCUAGCGCGUCUGACUGUUAAUCAGGAGGUAAGUUAUCAAAUCUUAUAAAAUUGUGGAUUUGAUGUAUAUCAAGUAUUAACUCGCAUUCAAAGGUUGAAAGUUCGAGCCUUUCCGGGGGAG